AGGGUUCGAUCCUGGCUCAGGACGAACGCUGGCGGUGCGCCUUAUGCAUGCAAGUUGAGCGAAGCUUUUUGGUAGUUUACUACUAGAAAUGACUGAGUGGUGAACGGGUGAGUAACGCGUGAGCAAUCUACCUUAGUUACUGGGAUAGCCCGAGGAAACUCGGAUUAAUACCGGAUAUUCUUAUUUUUUCACAUGAAGUUUUAAGGAAAGGUCAGCCGAACUAAGAUGAGCUCGCGUUCUAUCAGCUAGUUGGUGGGGUAAAAGCCUACCAAGGCUACGACGGAUAGCUGGUCUGAGAGGACGAUCAGCCACACUGGGACUGAGACACGGCCCAGACUCCUACGGGAGGCUGCAGCAGGGAAUAUUGUGCAAUGAGCGAAAGCUUGACACAGCGACACCGCGUGUGGGAUGACGGUUCUAGGAUUGUAAACCACUUUCAGGAGGGAAGAAAAUGACGGUACCUCCACAAGAAGACCCGGCCAACUAUGUGCCAGCCGCCGCGGUAAUAC
rnacentral:rRNA from 1 species